CCACUAGCGAAGUCCUGCGGUCCUGACCCAACACUGAUGUGCACAUGCUGAGGUCUACAAUGGCUCUCUUCUAGGGAACUCUGCUCCUGACACCUGCCAUAUGUCGUAAAACAGGAUCUCAGGCCCCACCCAGAACUGCGGGAUUAACAGGCUGCAUUUUAACAGGCUCUCCGGGUGAGUUGUAAGCAUGUCUCCGAAGCCCAGCCUGUGAUGGAGGAAGACAGGUAUUGAAGAAGUAGAGACAGAUUGAGCAGGUUUUGAGAUUGGAAAAGAGGGUUACCAGCUAAUAGUAGAUAGAGGAGCAUAGGAGCAUGGAGUUACCCCUGGAGCCUCAGUUUCCCUGGGGCUUUGGAAACCAGCAGCUUGUUUCGGUCUUUGGCUCUCCACUGGAGAAAUGGAGAGCUAGUCAUUGCUUCCCAGUGACUAAGGCCUCUUCCACUCUGUCAGCCUCUUAUAAUGCUGGGAAUAUAGAUUUGGAAAGGCCCUUGAAGGAUGAACAUGGUCAAGCAGGACCUUAAGGAACCAAAAGGGAACCGAACUAAGACUGAAAGAGACCGAAUGACUUGGCCUCAUGACUGCCGUGGGAGGGGCAGCCUGAUGUCCUGCUGAGCCCCUCGGAUGCGGACAUCAGGGCAAACUCAAACCUGGAGAAUGUGAAAGCAGUCUCCUACAAGUGUAUAGUCUUCUUCUGUGUCACUUGUCCUUCAGCCUUCCUGCCCCUUCAGGAAAGUUCUCCAGCCAGAAGUGAUGACCUCUUGAGUCCCAAGCCAGACAGAGGGGACUGUGCCAAUCUGGGAUCUGGGAUGCUGUUCACUUCAGAGCCCUAUUGGGCUGCCUCCUUUCACUGACUCUGUCCCAGGAAAGCUGCUCAGGGGCCUGUUUUGCAGAAAGGAUAAACUGUAGGGGGAAGAGCAGCUCCACUGGUGAGCAAAAGAAACAGCCAGCUCAGAGCCUUUAAAAUGUAAAGUGUUCUCUUGAGCUUCUGCAAAGAUCUGAUUUGUAAGAGAUCAAAGUCAGAAAAU